CACUUUGAUUGUUAUUGUAUGUACAAGGUUUGCCAAAAGACAUGGGCAGCUCCCUUGUAGCAGCUCACAGUUCCUGUAGCCUGUCUACCUGUUAAUGAGAAACAGUGAGGUGUCUUACUGCACAGCCUCACUGCCUUGUCCUCAUGAUUGCCACCUUCCUCCUGUCAUGGAUUUUGGCCUUCCUGCAGCCUCAAUAUUGGACUGACCUGAAAGUCUGGGAACAGCUGGGUGUAGGCAGGAGCAGGCAGUCCCACCCAGCAGGCACACAGCUCUGGGAGAGGAGGAAUCUGCAUGGCCAUGGGCUUCUACUGCAAAUAAGGCAGUGUCCCCAGACCAGGGAAAUUCAACCACGUCUCAUUGCAAACCCUGAGAAUUCACUACAAAGAAGGAGCCCCUGUUGGCUGGAGACUUGAACUUUGGAGCCUGUGCAAAGCGUGAAGGAACAUAUUUGUUUUCAUACU